GACGAACGCUGGCGGCGUGCCUAAUACAUGCAAGUAGAACGCACAGUUUAUACCGUAGCUUGCUACACCAUAGACUGUGAGUUGCGAACGGGUGAGUAACGCGUAGGUAACCUGCCUGGUAGCGGGGGAUAACUAUUGGAAACGAUAGCUAAUACCGCAUAAUAUUAAUUAUUGCAUGAUAAUUAAUUGAAAGGUGCAAUUGCACCACUACCAGAUGGACCUGCGUUGUAUUAGCUAGUAGGUGAGGUAACGGCUCACCUAGGCGACGAUACAUAGCCGACCUGAGAGGGUGAUCGGCCACACUGGGACUGAGACACGGCCCAGACUCCUACGGGAGGCAGCAGUAGGGAAUCGUCGGAAAUGGACGAAAGUCUGACCGAGCAACGCCGCGUGAGUGAAGAAGGUGUUCGGAUCGUAAAGCUCUGUUGUAAGAGAAGAACGGGUGUGAGAGUGGAAAGUUCACACUGUGACGGUAUCUUACCAGAAAGGGACGGCUAACUACGUG
rnacentral:rRNA from 1 species